AGGACGAACGCUGGCGGCGUGCCUAAUACAUGCAAGUCGAACGGUCUUUCUAUGGAAGCUUGCUUCCACUGAGAAGAUAGUGGCGAACGGGUGAGUAACACGUGGGUAACCUGCCCAUAAGAGGGGGAUAACAUCCGGAAACGGGUGCUAGUACCGCAUAGUUUUCUUGAUCGCAUGAUUGAGAAAGGAAAGACGGCCUUUGUGCUGUCGCUUAUGGAUGGACCCGCGGCGUAUUAGUUAGUUGGUGAGGUAACGGCUCACCAAGACGAUGAUACGUAGCCGACCUGAGAGGGUGAUCGGCCACAUUGGGACUGAGACACGGCCCAAACUCCUACGGGAGGCAGCAGUAGGGAAUCUUCCGCAAUGGACGAAAGUCUGACGGAGCAACGCCGCGUGAGUGAAGAAAGGUUUUCGGAUCGUAAAACUCUGUUGUCAGAGAAGAACAAGUUGGAGAGUAACUGCUCCAGCCUUGACGGUAUCUGACCAGAAAGCCACGGCUAACUACGUGCCAGCAGCCGC
rnacentral:rRNA from 1 species